rnacentral:rRNA from 1 species
CCCUUAGAUGUCCUGGGCUGCACGCGCGCUACACUGAAGGAAUCAGCGUGGAUGCCUCCCUGGUCCGAAAGGAUUGGGAAACCCGUUGAAUCUCCUUCGUGCUAGGGAUUGGGGCUUGUAAUUCUUCCCCAUGAACGAGGAAUUCCCAGUAAGCGCAAGUCAUCAACUUGCGUUGAUUACGUCCCUGCCCUUUGUACACACCGCCCGUCGCUACUGCCAACUGAGAUGGGUCCUGAAUUGUUAGGAACGCCCGUCAAGGGGCCUACCCGGUCCCUAGUGCGGUGACGAGAAUAACUGUAAAUGGCAUAUCUUGUAGGGAGUAAAAGUCGUAACA